rnacentral:tRNA from 2 species
AGGAAAUAAUUUUUUAAAUAUUCAUCUUCAGUUUUGAAAGACUUAGUUCUUAUAAGUUUUUCUUUUUUAAGGAAAAGAAAAUGGGCCUAUAGCUCAGUUGGUUAGAGCACACGCCUGAUAAGCGUGAGGUCGAUGGUUCAAGUCCAUUUAGGCCCACC